rnacentral:misc_RNA from 1 species
AAGUCGUAACAAGGUUUCCGUAGGUGAACCUGCGGAAGGAUCAUUACCGAUUUUAGCGUACCUAACCUUUGGUUAUGGUCUCGUGAAAACUUUGUAUUUAAAACCCCACUCUUAAAAAAAAAAAUUAUUUUUUAAUAUAAUAAUAAAUAAAGAUCACUUUCAACAACGGAUCUCUUGGCUCUC